rnacentral:rRNA from 1 species
CAAUGGCGUAAACAAAGGGAGGCGAAGCCGCGAGGUGGAGCAAAUCCCAAAAAUAACGUCUCAGUUCGGAUUGUAGUCUGCAACUCGACUACAUGAAGCUGGAAUCGCUAGUAAUCGCGAAUCAGAAUGUCGCGGUGAAUACGUUCCCGGGUCUUGUACACACCGCCCGUCACACCAUGGGAGUCAGCAACGCCCGAAGCCGGUGACCCAACCGAAAGGAGGGAGCCGUCGAAGGUGGGGCCGAUAACUAGGGUGAAGUCGUAACAAGGUAUC